UUCCGCUGUCGAUCGCCAUUGGCGCCAAAUGGCGCUAAAUUUUUAAAUGUGGCUCCAAUUUUUUAAAAGUGGCGAAUUUCAAAAAAUCGGUAAAAUCCUAUCCGAAAAUGUACUGCGAGUCGAAAGCACGCGACCGAGCAUUAGCGGCCAGCGUCUGUCAGUUGUAAAUAUUGAUUUAUGACGAUGUAAGCGACCUACAGUGCAGAGUGCAUUAGAAAUCACCGAAGCGUGCAACUAGAAUGGAUUGUGGCAAUUAUCUGGGCCU